AUUGAACGCUGGCUGCAGGCUUAACACAUGCAAGUCGAGCGGGGAAGGGUAGCUUGCUACCUAACCUAGCGGCGGACGGGUGAGUAAUGCUUAGGAAUCUGCCUAUUAGUGGGGGACAACAUUUCGAAAGGAAUGCUAAUACCGCAUACGCCCUACGGGGGAAAGCAGGGGAUCUUCGGACCUUGCGCUAAUAGAUGAGCCUAGGUCAGAUUAGCUAGUUGGCGGGGUAAAGGCCUACCAAGACGACGAUCUGUAGCGGGUCUGAGAGGAUGAUCCGCCACACUGGGACUGAGACACGGCCCAGACUCCUACGGGAGGCAGCAGUGGGGAAUAUUGGACAAUGGGCGAAAGCCUGAUCCAGCCAUGCCGCGUGUGUGAAGAAGGCCUUUUGGUUGUAAAGCACUUUAAGCGAGGAGGAGGCUACUGGUAUUAAUACUACCGGAUAGUGGACGUUACUCGCAGAAUAAGCACCGGCUAACUCUGUGCCAGCCGCCGCUGUAAUAC
rnacentral:rRNA from 1 species